rnacentral:rRNA from 1 species
AGUCAGACAUCGGGCGACAAGGUCCGGUGUCCAAAGGAAAAGAGUCCCCCGGCGAAGUUAAGGCACACAAGAAGCGCGAU